rnacentral:rRNA from 1 species
GUCGAACGGAAAGGCCCUGCUUGCAGGGUACUCGAGUGGCGAACGGGUGAGUAACACGUGGGUGAUCUGCCCUGCACUUCGGGAUAAGCUUGGGAAACUGGGUCUAAUACCGGAUAGGAACCAUCUUUAGUGUGGUGGUUGGAAAGUUUUUUCGGUGUAGGAUGAGCUCGCGGCCUAUCAGCUUGUUGGUGGGGUAAUGGCCUACCAAGGCGGCGACGGGUAGCCGGCCUGAGAGGGUGUACGGCCACAUUGGGACUGAGAUACGGCCCAGACUCCUACGGGAGGCAGCAGUGGGGAAUAUUGCACAAUGGGCGCAAGCCUGAUGCAGCGACGCCGCGUGGGGGACGAAGGCCUUCGGGUUGUAAACUCCUUUCGCUAGGGACGAAGCUUUUUGUGACGGUACCUAGAUAAGAAGCACCGGCUAACUACGUGCCAGCAGCCGCGGUAAUACGUAGGGUGCGAGCGUUGUCCGGAAUUACUGGGCGUAAAGGGCUCGUAGGUGGUUUGUCGCGUCGUCUGUGAAAUUCUGGGGCUUAACUCCGGGCGUGCAGGCGAUACGGGCAUAACUUGAGUGCUGUAGGGGUAACUGGAAUUCCUGGUGUAGCGGUGAAAUGCGCAGAUAUCAGGAGGAACACCGAUGGCGAAGGCAGGUUACUGGGCAGUUACUGACGCUGAG